rnacentral:rRNA from 1 species
UACGAAGGGGGCUAGCGUUGUUCGGAUUUACUGGGCGUAAAGCGCACGUAGGCGGAUUGGUAAGUUAGAGGUGAAAUCCCCAGGCUCAACCUGGGAACUGCGUCUGAUACUGGUUGGCUUGAAUCCGGGAGAGGGAUGCAGAAUUCCAGGUGUAGCGGUGAAAUGCGUAGAUAUCUGGAGGAAUACCGGUGGCGAAGGCGGCAUCCUGGACCGGCAUUGACGCUGAGGAGCGAAAGCUAGGGGAGCAAACGGG